rnacentral:rRNA from 2 species
UGGGGAAUAUUGGACAAUGGGCGCAAGCCUGAUCCAGCCAUGCCGCGUGAGUGAUGAAGGCCCUAGGGUUGUAAAGCUCUUUCACCGGUGAAGAUAAUGACGGUAACCGGAGAAGAAGCCCCGGCUAACUUCGUGCCAGCAGCCGCGGUAAUACGAAGGGGGCUAGCGUUGUUCGGAUUUACUGGGCGUAAAGCGCACGUAGGCGGACUUUUGAGUCAGGGGUGAAAUCCCGGGGCUCAACCCCGGAACUGCCUUUGAUACUGGAAGUCUUGAGUAUGGUAGAGGUGAGUGGAAUUCCGAGUGUAGAGGUGAAAUUCGUAGAUAUUCGGAGGAACACCAGUGGCGAAGGCGGCUCACUGGACCAUUACUGACGCUGAGGUGCGAAAGCGUGGGGAGCAAACAGG